rnacentral:lncRNA from 1 species
AAAGGGGGAAGAGAAGUGCAUGACAUUUAUAUUUGUUGUAACAUAAACCAUUCCUUAUCUCUCCCCUCAGUCCCUCUCCUCUGCCUCCCUUCUGUCUCCAUUUACAACUUCACUAUACCUCCCGCCUAUUGGGACCAAAACAUUACUAUAAUCUUUCUUCUUUUUGCUGCCCUCUGCAUAUCUAAGGCAAUCUUUUCUUUUCUUUUUCCUUCUAUGGUCUCAAAUCCCACCCCCCAAAACAAACCCACAUAUCUCUUAAUGUGCCUGCUUCCUGUUAUUUCUUUUUUUUUUUUUUUUUAAAGACUAAAUUUUUUCCUAUCUCAUCUCUGCCUCACAAUUCCCAGAAUGCACUGUUCUUUCAAUCUGGACUGGCUUUCAAUAAGCCUGGAAAGCAUCUCUAUACCAUCAUCAACUUCUCAACAGUUUAGCAGUCAUUUUACUCACACUUAUUAACAUAUUUCCUAGUUUUCAUCUUAAUUAGACAUUUGGUGGUGCAGGUUUCUGUUUUUCAAAUUUCCAAAUGAGCCUGAGAAAUUUUGUGGAGAUUUUUUUGGGAAGCAUUUAUAUCUUGGGAGAGCAGUCCAACUUGCACUUUAUCCUAUUUAGAUUUACAGGGUAAACAUCCCUGUGCUGAAAUCCCAUGGGUAGCUGGUCUGGAUUGGUGCUCUGCAAAGGCACUGAAUACAGAAGCAGCAGUAAGUUUAAGCUGCAAGUAAUUGUGACCACAGCCAGUUUCAUUCAAAACAUGUUUAGAAUAUAAAGUGGUGUGUCUUUCUUUAGGAGCAUUUGCCCAGGAAGUGGCAAACUUGGGAAGAUCUGAAUGAUGCAAAGUUCCUUUAUAGGUUUCACCCUGAAUUUUGUUGCUUCCCUCAGAAGAAUUGAAACAACAGUAUUUUCAUAUUUUGCAGAAUGGUUUGAGAUCGCCUCUUAAAGAGAAAAGUUUCAAAAAAUUGUACAGCUUUUGAAAGAAGCUUUGAAGAGUCCAUAAUUUUGCAUUAAUAUUUCUGUGUUAAUAAUUUCGAGGUUCAAAUUAAUGCUGUUAUAAAUGGCAGCACUUAGACAUGCUUUCUAUGUUCCUAACUGUGCAGUCACCAAGCAAAUGUGGUAGUUAGAUAUCUUAUAGCAAUUCUGUGUGGGAGAACAACUAAAAGUAUGAAGUUAAUGCAGCAAAAUUAAGGACCAUUAAGCCCCUAUAUGGAAACUUAUUGAAAAGUGGAGUACUUAAGGGAGGAUUAAACUACACACACACAAAAAAAAGCAUUUUAUUUCAGAGAGAGAGAGCAUCUACACAUAGCUUAAUGUGUUUUAAUUUCUGUCCAUUAACUUAUACUUUUAGUUGAUUCUUUUUAACUAUCCCAAAUGCAGGUAACCCCAAGUGAUACUACGUUUUCUUAAAAGUAUAUCUUUGGAAGGUUUCUCUUUAAAAAUUUAUAUCCUUCUAUCCCAUUCCAUGCAGGUAACCCAGGAAAAAUUCUUGUUAAAAAAUGAACAAAAAGACAAAUAGUAAUAUGCUUUCUGUUGUCAACUGAUUAUGCCAGCAAACAUGACCAUGACAAUGAGAAAAUUUACCAUUUAAAAAAAAUAUGUAAGUUAAAAGAAAAUUCAUAUUUUACAAGUAGAUAUUAAAGGCUUGAGGGGAAUUUAAGCAUUCAUGAAUGAUGGACACAGUGGAAAAUCAUGGAGAACAGAAAAUAAAGACCAAGAUAAUAGUAAAAGACAUUACAUAUCUGGCCACUGAAACUGAAUGUUCAAACCUGACAAUUUGUGGUUGAAGUGAAAAAUACAGAUGUUUGUGUGUUUGGCACAGCUGAUUGUAAAGAAAUGCAUGAAGCUGUGCUAUACCAAAGCUGGGAUUUAUCCUGUUACUUCAUGCUUGUUCCCUAAGAAGUCUUUAUUUCUGUGUCAUCUUUUCAGGCUUUACUGACUUUGUAGGGAUUCAGCUUGGCUGCUUGGUUGUCAUUUUAUUGUCCCUUAACCAGAAUCACCAUCUCUAUGAAAAGAAAUACAUACAACUGCCAGAUGAACUGUCCACAUUAUAAUCAAUAGAAGUUUCUUAUCGAUCAUGAAAAUGGGAACUCGGCAGCCUUUUCACCAUUACUGGGGUUGUGUCAUGGACAUGAACAUUGCUACAUCAGUCCACUGGAAUCAACACUUGUUUUUGUGUUAUGCUGUGUCAUGCACUUAAGUAAAUGUCCAAAUAGCCAUAAUGAAGGCAGAAUACAGUAAGAAACAAAGAUACCAACAUCUCGCAUAGAAAGAAGUAGAGCAUUUUCUAAUUCUAAGAGAUACUACUUUUGGGAAGGACAAAAGAUCUGCUGGUGAUUGCUGGUUUGCGGUUUAAAGGACCUUGGUCAUGUCACUUUAAUAUCUUAGAAUGCUAUUGGUUUUUUUAAUAAUAACUUGUACAAUUAAGAUUAAAAAAUUCCAAUCCGUUGUUACUAGAGAGAUUUCUUAUCAUGUGGUAAUGAUACAGUUGAUGCUAUGUAGGUGUAUUUAUUUAAUCCGGUCAUUAUUUUUAAAAAAUAUUUAAUUAAUUAGUGAUUGUAGUCAAUGGGGAGUAACAGUUGAAACCAGUCCACCAUUUCAGUUUCGAGAUACAUUAGAUCUUCAGUGCAGAUCUUUACAGAGGUGUCCUGUUACAAGGGCAGAAGCACAACAGUCUUCAUAGAAAGAUGCCAAAAACUUGCAUUUGCUUUAUCAUGAAUUACAGUGGACUGCCAGUCCUCAGGCUAGUGCUUUCUCUUGUUUACUUGUGCAUUCUGCUGUUCAAGUGUGUAGACCUGCAUUCUCCAUUUAAAGAAAUCAAUGCUUUUGUCCACCCUCCCUUUUUUUUUCCUCUGCCAACCAUUUUUCUUGUCAGCUUGCUUUCCCUAUUGCUGGGUGAGCAGCUCAUGAGAAAUAAACCACUGAGGCACAUCAAACCUUAUAAGAAGGCCAGGGCAGUAAUUCAGUGGCUGAGUUUUCCAAUCCAUUCUCUUUCAAGUGGCUUGUUAAAAAACAAACAACAGAAACAAAACCUCACAGUGUCUCUUGCUGGUAUUUAGCAAAACUAUAGAAAGACCUUUUGCCUUAAUAAUACCAGUGACAUGCAUUUCGUUUAUCUUUCUAAUUAUUUAUUUAUAGUUGACAUGAAAAUGCUUCCCACUAGACAUCACUAACUGCACAAAACCAGUUGUGUAUUGCUUUCGUGAGACUUCUGUUAUUAUUACAUGAUUAAAAUAGUAUAUUAAUUAUGCAUCCUGCUAUAAAACUGAAUACAGCCGAGGAAAUAAAUAUGCAUUAAUAAUACAUUAGUUAUUAAUCUGAGUAUUUGUCAUUUCAAUGAGGUGUAAACUACUGCAUCCUCAGUUCAUGAAGACCACCACUUACCUGUUUUAUAAGUCCACUUACAUCUCAAUAAUGUAGGAGGAGAAGUUCUUGUUAGAAGUCACCAUGUGUUACAAAAGAGUAGUCCCAAGCCAAAAAUAUUAUAUUAAAAAGCUACAAAUUUUAUCUGUGAGAUACAGUGGUAGCAUAAUAAAGCAGAUUUACCACUAGGCUGGGCCAUGUACAGUAAACUUUCCAUCAUUAAAAGUGGUAGAUACCUUUCUGAAGCAACAAGAUUGAUUCUGACUUUUAUUUUUUUUUUCCUGAGAUUCCUUGUGCUACUAGAAAGGGAACUUUUAUGCUAAAGGGAAGCCAGCUACAGCUUAUGGACUUGAUGAAAAGUCUUGCAAAACAAUAGGCCUUGUAAAGUACAUUAUUUGAUUGGGUUAACAGAUUAUUGUAAGGUGAGCAGAUAUAUCAGAUGUGAAGAUGUUACACCUACUAGGUAAUAUCCAAGGGGCACCUAAAUAUUUGCACGUCAAACUGUCUUUUAGUUAAAGGACAGAACCAGGAGAUGAGGAAGUAAAACGGGAGCCAAUUAGCUGCAGCAACCUUUUACUAAAUAAAGCCAUUUGCUUUCUUUUUGGCUCAAAAUAGAAUAAAAAUUAGAUUAAUUAAUGUAAGACAUGCUUGGCAAGAUUUGCACUAGGAAAUUAAAUGUGCCUGGGAUUACUGAUGCCAAAGAAGCUAACUGUCAUGGAGUGACCUAUGUCUACAUUAUUAAAAUUUGCUAGUUUACAAAGAAGGUGGGUGCAGGAAAAAUGCCUCUAGAGAAUACUCUUAAGUCUUAAAGUUUGUUUAAAAUAUAAUUUGGGAUAGGUGUAGUCUUAGUUGUCCAGGAAUAAAACUAAUCCGUGGAGUAUUUGUGAAAGUUAACAGUGGGUUGACUUUCAGUCUCUUGUACGUUUGCUAGCAGUGAUUAUUUUCUUGGUAGUGCUAGUGCUGUUUAGUAAAUGACCAGUAGAUGAGGUGGUCCAAAGACAUAUUUUUGUGGUACAUUUUAGUUUUAUCAUUAAUUGACAUGAUUUAGAAUGGAAUGAUUCAUAUGAAAGGGAAACUACACCGCUGUUGAAGUUAAGUUAAAAACACACAAAAUCCUUAAACUGACAGCAAUGUCAUGGUUAUAUUUUCACAUUGUCUUAAUAUUGAAUAAUGAAAAGUGUAAACUUUCAUCAUGGGUGUCCAUUCUUAAAAGAUGUUUGAUUAUCUUGAUUUAAGGAUUGUGUCAGCUAAAACAGGUUAAAAUAAUUAUUGCUAAUAUUAGUGAUAGCAACAUGACAACAUCAACAAUAUAAUGAAUAAUAUGUAGCUCUCUUGUUGGAUUUGCACCAAGAGAUCUAGAAGUACAUGAAUAAGAAUGUGAAUAUUAUUUUAUGUUCUGUGAAAGUCAGAGUCAAGUGGAGUGUCACGACUGGAAUCACCUUUUAGGUCACAGGCAGCAUCAGGCAUAGAAUGCAGAUAUUUUGAAUCCCACAGUAUAACUCUGUUCAAUGUAACAGCAUCUAUCACUUUUGCACAUAGGUUAAAAUUUUUCCCACAUAAAUUCUGAAGAAGGUUCUGAAUCAUGUAUCAUGGAUAAGUCAUCUUCAAGAGUCAUGAUUUAGAGCAAUAUGGGAAUGUUUACUGAACUAAAAUAUCUUUCUCUUUUCCUGCCUCUCCUCUUUGUAUAUCUUCUUAGUUUCCUCUGGCAAAACACAGAAAAGAUCACCCAUUCAUGAAAGUUGUCUGCCAAAAAGCAGAUUCACCUAUCUAUAAAGACUUUUUGAUAAAUUUUAUAUAUACUUCUAAAAAAACCCCCAAACUUCCAGUGGCAGAAAAUAGCAGUCUCUUUUUAUGCAAUAUUUUUAGUGCAUCAUUAUCCUUAUUCUUGGUAAAAGAUGUUUUUUCCUUAGUGUUUAACCUGCAUUUUUUCUAAGUCCAUAGUGUCCUCUGCACUUUCCUUUUUUUGAUAUACUGAAAAAUUCUUCAUGAUGUUGUGUGCAGAAAAUCUUGACCAUAGAGUAUACCAAAGAGUGAAUCUAUUAAUUCUUUCAUUAUUAUAUGCAAACUUUCCUAUCACUUUCAUGUGAAUACUAGGAAACAUUUUACUAUUUUUCCUUGAAAAUGUGCCUAUCUAUCUUCCUUUCUAAAACCACUCUGUUCCUGAUAGUGUGAACCCCUCUAAGUAAGAGAGAUGAACACACAUGAAUAUUGGUGAAUAUUAGCUUGUUAUCAAGAAAAAAAGCUGAAAAAACAUCCCUUGAUUGAUAUUGUAAUCGUUUAGCUAUUGUACUGUUGAAUUUCUUUAAUUUUAAAACAAUGUUGCACAAUUAUAUAUUCACUGUUUUCUUUAUUUUGUAAAAACUGUGGAGUGAUUUAUGUGAGAGGAAAUAAAAUUGACUGGCUUCUGAAUGCUUUGGCUGCUUUAGGGAACUUUGGUACAGGGAGUUGUUUUGCAUUACCUGUUUGGAUAUUUUCCUCUUCUAUAUCAUCUUUCUUUUUUUGUAAGUAGCAUGUCCUGCUGUUUACUAAACUUAUAUAGCAACAGUGCAUUCAUUCAGUUACUUUGCAGGGAUGCUUUGGCAGUUCUGUGUUUUCCUAAAUGCAUGCAAAUUCUUCAGUUUAAAGCACUAGGCCUUCUUAAGUUUUGCAUAUACACUAAUGGUGGUGUAGCCAAUAGAGCACAAAAUAGCAAUGUCAGAAGUGUUAUCACUUUAUUCCCACACUGCUACAUAGAUGCUUUCCAUGUUGAAAUUAACCUUUUUCUUUUUUGCUUACUUUGGUAAUGUUUAUUUUUGUAAUUAAACCCCUCCCUUUUUUUUUUUUUUCUAUAAGGUUUUGGUUAUGCUGCACUCAUUCAUCAAGGUUGGUGAGCCAUAGAGAAAAAAAAAAACCUCUAACACUCCUAGUGGGUUUCUUGGCUGAGGAGAGGAAGUUGGAGUCACUUCUCUGGGACUUUGUAGAAUUCAUUUAGUUCCAAGCAUAGGGAAAUUUCCUUAAAUUACAUUGUUUCUCUGGCUAUCACCAAGAGAUGCCCUCUAUCUGUACAGGCAUUUUAAGGUAUGGGGAGAUGAGCAGUGGAAAACCAUGUGUCUAAAGCAAACUUGAAACCUGUCUCUAAUUCCACAUAGUGUUCCAGUUCUAUCUCAAGAUAGUGCAACUUUGAUCAAUUCUUUCAAAAUUCUCUUUUGGGAAGUUCUGUGGCAUCUCUCAUUUGCUCAGAUGACAGCUGAAAGGAAGUCUGCAAAAUAAUCUGUAGAGUCUGGAAAGACUAAGUAAAUAUUCUUUGUGACACUAGAGAAAGGUUAAUGGGGAUUUGACAGGCUUCCUACCAUAUGCGUUGGUCUGAAUUGUCUGAUACUUUUUUGUAAUAUAGAGUAGCAACAUAAUCUUCAGGAGUUAAAUGUUGGGUGGUGGACGUAUGUGGAACAUGAACUUUGAGAAUAUAGUUUGGAAUGGAGAAUAUGAAGAUUUGGAAUAGUUCUUGCCUUCCCUCCCUAUCGUUGCAGCCGAGAAAGCCUUAGCUUUCUUUAUAUAUGGUGUCCGUAGCUUCUAGAUUUUAAGCAGCUGAUAUAAAUAUUUUUGGCUGAGCAUCAUCAUUGCAUGUACACAUACACACACAGAGGUGCAGACACCCAUGCACACACCUGCUUUCUCUGACAAGUAAACAUAGAAGACAUGUCCAGUUGAUGAAAUUAUAAAAACACUAUACAAGCGAAGUACUGCCUUGGGAUUUCUUCAUCCUAAUGCUUUUAACAGCAUGCCAAGGCAUUGCACCUCAGGCCCCAGAUACAAAUGGAGUCUGUAGGGAAAAGGAAAGGGGUAAAAAAAAGUGACAAUAUAAUGCUAAAGUGAACUCAGUGUUACUGAUCGGUGCUAGCAGCUGAGAAAGGAAACAACAGUGCAAAACUCCUCUUUGAUUUUCUGUUCUUGCUCACUGCCUUUUGUGUUUGAUGAAACCCCUUUUAUGAGUGAGAUAGACUCUGAUAAAGGAAGUGGUGAUACAUGAAGUAGCACUAUGACAAUGCAUAAAGUGGUCAUUGUCCUCACUUACCCUCACUGCACUUUCACACUAUUAAUGGUGUAACUAAUAAGACUUACACUUAAGAUCUCACCUUUGUACUUCCUGUGGUAGUGCCAUAAUUGAAAAGUGGCAGCCUCUGCUAAAGCACUGCAAAAUAUAUCAGGUUGUUCUCAUCACUGUAAACAGACACAUCUUAUUUUUUCCCAUAUGAGGAACUUUAAGUGACUUGUUUCAGCACAAACAAGAACUCAGACAUUAUGACUGGGAACUCAUAUACUUUUCCAUACUCAGUUUGUUUGAAAUAUCAUUAUAACAUUAUCAAACAUGGAAAAUAACUGCAUAUUUGGCACUGAGGCAAAUUACCAGACUGUGUUAACUAAUUUUAGAAUUCUUUACAUAAGCACCUAUCUGUAUGAAAGUUGUAAUUAUCAUCCUGCUAAUACUGAGAUUUCUUUUUUUUGGUUUCUUCUCUUCAUUCCCUUUGGCCUUGUUUUUAUCCCACCUCAAAGUACUUUUAUCCCCCUAUCCAGGACCUGCUCUGAAGUAUUUUUCUUUCAACAAGAGACUGUCAUUUUGUAGCAGAUGCCAGUUCUAGUCAGUGGGACUGUAAACAGAAAGUACCCAGGAUAACUGAUUCAUCCUCCACAGAGACCACACGUAGUACCUAGGAAAUGUCUGCACUUCCAAAGAGUGGAUGCUGUCCCCAGCGUAGGUUUCAGUACAAAGUGCCAGAACAGGUGUCAGGAGAAUUCAUUUUGGCUUGAACUUUAUGAACAAACUAAGGUACAAUGAGGAAUGCAGUCUCCAUUGACAUUGCUGCUUGCAUUCUUGCUAUUUAAAGAACAGAGGAACAGAAGUUUCAGUGCACUAAGUGUGAUCAUUUCCCCCAAUACCUGAUUUAAUAGUAGUAAUUUCUACUUACACAGUCUCUUUCUAUUGAGAAGCUCACACUCUACAGACAUGAAUUAAUUAAGCUUUAUACUCCCUCUGUGCUGCAUAGGUAGACUCAGGAAUAAAGUGCUUUAACAUUAGACUAGUGUGCCAGUUGGGAAAUACCAGAAAUCUAGUUUUCUUACUUUGCACAUGCCCUGGGGCAGAUUCAAUGCAUGCCUUAAAUGCAAGGACUGAAAAAGACCAUAAGGCAUGUGAUUGAUAGUACCUCUAGGCUUACAGUUGGAGAUAAGGACUCCUGCUUGGGAGAGCUGGAGUGCAUAUUGCAGUGAAGCAAAAGGCUGCUUCCAUGUGAAAACAUGCAUGGCAGAGCCUGCUAAGGUACAAAGUUUUUCCAGUGGGCCUCAAAGAGACUAUUACAGUGACCUGUAUAGUUUUGACUGGUUGCCUUCUCUCAAGUCAAACCAAGCAAAUUGAAGCUACUUCUUCCUUUUAAUGAUACCGCUAAGAUCAAGGUGAUGGCUGUGUGCACGUAUGUAUUUGUUGGUCGGGCUGAAAGCAUAAGAGCACUUCCAUUUGGCAUCACUUGCUAUGGCAUAUACUCCUGAGGUACCUGACAGCAAUAAAUACUCUGGCCAGUAAGACUGUUUCUUUGUAUAACCCCUGGUAUUUGACACAGAAUAGUCAGUUGAUUUUAUGAAUCAGGUGUCUCGUGGUUUUGUUACUAUUAAAAGCUUUCUAAUAAAUUCUUCUGAUUUUUUUUAUUCUUUGAAGCCCUAUUUUUUAAUGUGCAUUAAGGCUUGAUUUUGUUUUCCAGAGUAGUACUUUGCACUGUAUAAAUCAUUACCUCAGUGCCAGGACACUCUUACUAGGAAAGUGACAAGUGAAAUAAAACAAAGCCCUCACUGUUAAAUCAUAGGGCUGGGCCAAUGCACAUUGGGACUGCAAAUUGGAAAUAUUGCUUUAUUUUAAAAUAGCUGGAUACCUGCUGCAGCAUCCAUAACACUUGUUACUUCUCUAAACCUACAUAAUUUAUUCCAGUGGGGAAAAAAAAAAAA